rnacentral:rRNA from 1 species
CUGAUCCAGCCAUGCCGCGUGUGUGAAGAAGGCCCUCGGGUUGUAAAGCACUUUCAGCGAGGAAGAACGCCUAGUGGUUAAUACCCAUUAGGAAAGACAUCACUCGCAGAAGAAGCACCGGCUAACUCCGUGCCAGCAGCCGCGGUAAUACGGAGGGUGCAAGCGUUAAUCGGAAUUACUGGGCGUAAAGCGCGCGUAGGUGGCUUGAUAAGCCGGUUGUGAAAGCCCCGGGCUCAACCUGGGAACGGCAUCCGGAACUGUCAAGCUAGAGUGCAGGAGAGGAAGGUAGAAUUCCCGGUGUAGCGGUGAAAUGCGUAGAGAUCGGGAGGAAUACCAGUGGCGAAGGCGGCCUUCUGGACUGACACUGACACUGAGGUGCGAAAGCGUGGGUAGCAAACAGGAUUAGAUACCCUGGUAGUCCACGCCGUAAACGAUGUCGACCAGCCGUUGGGUGCCUAGCGCACUUUGUGGCGAAGUUAACGCGAUAAGUCGACCGCCUGGGGAGUACGGCCGCAAGGUUAAAACUCAAAUGAAUUGACGGGGGCCCGCACAAGCGGUGGAGCAUGUGGUUUAAUUCGAUGCAACGCGAAGAACCUUACCUACUCUUGACAUCCUGCGAACUUGUGAGAGAUCACUUGGUGCCUUCGGGAACGCAGAGACAGGUGCUGCAUGGCUGUCGUCAGCUCGUGUUGUGAAAUGUUGGGUUAAGUCCCGUAACGAGCGCAACCC